rnacentral:rRNA from 1 species
GAUUAACGCUGGCGGCGUGCCUAACACAUGCAAGUCGAGCGGCAGCGAGUUUUACACUGACUUCUGGAAGCUUCUAGUUGAAAGAGAAGAUUUAUUCAAGAAUUUUGUGUAAAAUGUCGGCGGGCGGCGGACGGCUGAGUAACGCGUGGGAACGUACCCCAAAGUGAGGGAUAACGCAUCGAAAGGUGUGCUAAUACCGCAUAUGGUCUUCGGAUUAAAGCCUUCGGGCGCUUUGGGAACGGCCUGCGUAAGAUUAGAUAGUUGGUGGGGUAAUGGCCUACCAAGUCGACGAUCUUUAACUGGUUUGAGAGGAUGAUCAGUCAGACUGGAACUGAGACACGGUCCAGACUCCUACGGGAGGCAGCAGUGAGGAAUCUUCCACAAUGGGCGAAAGCCUGAUGGAGCAACGCCGCGUGCAGGAUGAAGGCCUUCGGGUUGUAAACUGCUUUUAUAAGUGAGGAUUAUGACAGUAACUUAUGAAUAAGGAUCGGCUAACUACGUG